GAUGAACGCUGGCGGCGUGCCUAAUACAUGCAAGUCGAGCGAACAGACAAGGAGCUUGCUCCUCUGACGUUAGCGGCGGACGGGUGAGUAACACGUGGAUAACCUACCUAUAAGACUGGGAUAACUUCGGGAAACCGGAGCUAAUACCGGAUAAUAUAUUGAACCGCAUGGUUCAAUAGUGAAAGACGGUUUUGCUGUCACUUAUAGAUGGAUCCGCGCCGCAUUAGCUAGUUGGUAAGGUAACGGCUUACCAAGGCAACGAUGCGUAGCCGACCUGAGAGGGUGAUCGGCCACACUGGAACUGAGACACGGUCCAGACUACUACGGGAGGCAGCAGUAGGGAAUCUUCCGCAAUGGGCGAAAGCCUGACGGAGCAACGCCGCGUGAGUGAUGAAGGUCUUCGGAUCGUAAAACUCUGUUAUUAGGGAAGAACAAAUGUGUAAGUAACUAUGCACGUCUUGACGGUACCUAAUCAGAAAGCCACGGCUAACUACGUG
rnacentral:rRNA from 1 species